GGCCAUACCAUGCUGAAUAUACCGGUUCUCGUUAGAUCACCGAAGUCAAGCAUCAUUGGGCGCGGUCAGUACUUGGGUGGGUGACCACCUGGGAACACCGCAUGCCGUU
rnacentral:rRNA from 1 species